AUUUCUGCAAUUUUUUUGUCGAUAGAUUAUUUCUGUAAAUAUUAAAAAAAAAUCUAAAAACGAAAAAAAUUCCGGCCGCGUAGGCCUAAUCGUCGUCCCGGAGGAGUUCGAGCGGCGACCCCGACGACGAGGAAGCCACCACCAGCUCACCGCUGCCUCAUGCCGGCCUACGGGCAGGGCCUCGCCGGAGCGCCGCCGGCAGAGCCCUGCUCUCCGGCUCAAUAGAGGACGAGGACGCGCCCGACGUCCGGUGCGCAAACGGCAUCGAGGGUCUGGCCUUCGGCGGCGGCCGUACGUGGCUGACUGGCUGGCCUGGCGCCGACGACGCCCUUCAUGUGUUUGUGGAAAUGCCCGCCCAGAACCCGAGCGAGAGCGACGUCCCUCUCCAUCUCCAGCUGCCGCGAGACAUGGAAGCGAGUAUUGCGAGAGCGAGAAAGCGGAGCAGAAGAGCAGUCCGUCUUUGACAAAUCGCCAUGUCCCUUAUGCGCAAAUGCACAACACAGAUGGCAACAUGUGUGCCCGUAUACCAGACAGAACGACAAAAUUCUCCUCACCUUGUAGUAGAAACCGAAGCCAAGCAAAGCAGCAACCAAAGCAUGCCGCUGCUCUCGUUCUGGGAGACAAACAAGAACGACGUCGCCGCCGCCGCCGCCGUCUCGGCCGCCCCGCCCGCGACGGCUCGUCGUUUGUCUCCUCCACCGCUUCCAAAUCCCAUCGCCCUUGUUGUACUUGCAGCGCAUUUCCUCUCCCGCGCGCGCGUGUCUCCGCAGCAGCAGCAGCAGCACGGUGGGUUGGGGUUGGGUUGCACUGUUGUGUCGCGUGGCGCGGACAGGGUCGAUGGGGGUGGAGUGGAGCGUGGUGGACGCGGCGAUAGGGUGGCUGGUGCAGAGCGUCCUGGGGACCCUCCUCGCCGGCAAGCUGGAGGCCUGGACGCGCGAGGUCGGGCUCGCCGGCGACGUGCGGAGGCUCGAGGUCGGGAUGAGGAGCGUCGAGAUGGUGCUCGCCGCGGCGGCCGCCCGGGGGAGGGAGCUCGUCGGGAACGAGCCGCUGUCCCGCUCCCUCGACGACCUGAGGCAGCUGCUGUUCGACGCCGAGGACGUCGUCGACGAGCUCGACUACUACCGCCUCCAGCUAGAGAUCGAGCAGCGCGAGGACGCUGCUGCUGCUGUGGAUUCUUGUGUUGAGGGAGGCAAUGCAUCUUCCUUCAGCUCCACCUCGUCUUCUACUUGCCGUCUUGUAUGGAAUGCUGCCACUAAGCUUACUUCUUGGGCAUCAAUGGCAGUAGAUUUCGUCAUGGCCCAUGCCGGAAGCAAAAGGAAAAGGGGACAAUAUGAGCUAGCACAAGAUGAUGCCACUGUUGUGGUUGUGCCGUUCGAAAACAAGGAUGAUAUCUCUCGCAGGAUAAACGAGAUAGCAACCUCGCUGUGCACAAUUAGUGAUUCUGUGCACAAGGCUAUCCAUUUAGAGGCCUCUUACUGCAUUGCGGUACCAAAAGAAGGCGUGGUCAGCAACAGACGACUGACAACUUCGGUGCCAGUUGAACAGAAGGUGUAUGGGAGGGAUAGUGACAGAGACAUGAUAGUGGAGCUUCUGGUAAAUGGGAAAUCCAGGGACCUGAAUGUUCUGCCAAUAGUUGGAAAUGGAGGGGUCGGAAAGACCACUCUUGCUAAAUUUGUAUACCGUGAUCGAAGAAUCAAAGAUCAUUUUGAUUUGCAAAUGUGGGUUUGCGUAUCUUCCAUCUUCGAUGAGGUGAGACUAACACGCGAGAUGCUAGAGCAUGCCUGUAGAGACAGGCAGGAUUGUGAGAAAAUAAGCAGCUUUAAUGUGCUUCAGGAGAUGCUCAUGGGCAGCGUUAGAAACAGAAGAUUUCUGCUCAUCUUAGAUGAUGUGUGGGAAGACAAGGAUAAAAACGGUUGGAAUAGACUACUAGGUCCAUUGCGCCAGAAUCAAACAGUCGGAUGCAUGAUUCUAGCAACAACUCGGAGCCCCUCUGUUGCCAAAAAGAUCAGAACACUGACCUCAGUUGAAUUGAAAGGUUUGGAUGACGACAACUUUUGGUUGUUCUUCAAGCAAUGCGCAUUUGGUGAUGAGAACCACGGGGAUCAUCCUAGUUUGCAAGUCAUUGGACAACAAAUUGUGAAAACACUGAAGGGUUACCCACUAGCUGCCCAAAGUGUUGGUGCACUUUUGGGACAGAAUCUUAACUAUGAGCACUGGUGGAAAAUCCGGGACCAAUGGGCAUCUCUACAGAAAGGUGAUGAUGAUAUUUUACCUAUCUUAAAGCUUAGUUAUGAUUAUCUACCAUCUUGCUUGCAACGCUGUUUCUCUUACUGCUCAUUGUUUCCACAAGAGCAUAAAUUUGAUGGGGAAAAGUUGAUUUUUGCAUGGAUUUCACAAAGCUUUGUGUCUUGCAAAGAUACAAAAAAUAGAGUGGAGCAAACAGGGAGGGAGUACCUGGACAAAUUGGUGGAUUUGGGCUUCUUCCAGAAAGAUGGCCCGCACUAUGUCAUGCAUGGUUUAAUGCAUGAACUAGCACAGGCAGUUUCAUCUAAUGACUGUGCCACUAUUGAUGGUUUGAAGUCCAAUUCGAUUCCUUCAACUAUUCGUCAUCUUUCAAUCAUUACCUCUGCUUAUGAUGAAGUUGAGCAUGACAGUUUUCCCACAGAUAAGUUUGAGAGACAAUUGGAGAAAAUUACAUGUUUAAAAAAACUGAGGACCUUGAUGUUCUUUGGUCAUGGACCCUACGGGAGCAGAAAUUUGUUGAAAUGUUUACUAACAUUAUGCAAACAUGCAAAAGGUCUGCGUUACCUAAGAGUACACUUUGCAUUUAUGUUAAUUGAUGCUCUCUGGAACUCCAUAAAGCCUUUCCAUCUCCGAUAUAUUGAAUUUUUUAAUGGAAGUAUCACUUUCGAAAAAUCUUGUUGGUGGGAAACAGAAGAUGGACCUCGUAUCUACAACGUCGAUCCUCAAGGUUUGCCGACAUGUUAUCACCUUCAAGCAUUGGAUGCAGGUUCUUCCAGCAAUCUUGUACCUAGGCGCAUAAAUAAUCUGGUCAACCUACGGCAUCUUAUUGCUGAUAAGGAAAGGCACUCGGAAAUUGCUAAUGUUGGGAGGUUAACGUCUCUUCAGGAACUAAGAAAAUUUAGAGUUGAAAAUGUUGAUGGUUUUGAAAUCGGACAACUUCAGCAAAUGAAUGAGCUCGUAAGUCUUGGAAUUUUUCAACUUGGGAAUGUCAAGACUAAAGAAGAGGCCAGGAGAGCAAGACUGAUAGACAAGGACUACCUAGAAAAUUUGUGCUUGGUAUGGGAUGAUAGUACCACAAAUUUGAAACCUGCUAUGGCAACAGCAGAGGAGGUCUUAGAAGGUCUUCAUCCAAAUAGAAAUGUAAAGCGUAUCAAAAUCCGGGGCUACAAUGGUGCUAUCUGCCCCAUGUGGCUUGGGAGUAAUGUUUCUGUCCCUUUACUUCGAUCCCUUCACUUAAAGAAUUGUAGUGAAUGGAGAGCAAUUCAACUUGAAGAGAUUUCUUCACUUGGCAAGCUGAAUUUGAUCCGGAUGUGGAGUUUAGUGGAUGUCUCAAUUCCUUCUUUGGAUGAAUUAGUGCUAAUUGAUUUGCCAAACUUGGAAAAAUGUAUUGGUACAUAUAAUAGGGAAUUGACUUCUAACAUGAGAAUUCUGAGGAUGGAGAGAUGUGACAAGCUGAAGGACUUUACUCUUUUCCUGAACUAUGAUCAUUUCAGAGUUGAGCGGAAGACAUGGUUCCCAUUACUGACAAAACUCACCAUCAAGCAAUGCCCUCAGAUAAUGCAAUGGACUAUCCUUCCAUUUGAAGAGAUGCAUUCUCUUAAGGACUUAAAGUUGAUUGCGAUGCCUGGUGUUAGAGAAGUUUCAGUUCCUUACCUGAAGAAGUUGGUCAUAAGAAACAUGCCAAACCUAGAAUGUUGCACAUGUGCGAACCUCGACCUAUUAUCUUCCUGUCUAGAAGUACUGAAAAUUACAAAAUGCAGAAAAUUGACCAGUUUUCAAGUCUUGCAAGUUUUACCACCCCACUGUGAGGAGAAGACAUGGCUUCCAAACAUGAAUAAACUCAAAGUGCACAGUUGUCCUCAUUUUAUAGUAUCAUGCCCUUUUCCACCUUCUGCAGAAUUGUCCAAGGUAUCUGUAUCCAUCCGAGGAGUUUUGGCUCCUCCUGCAAUAGAAAUGCGUAAGCAUUGGCCACUCUUUACAAUCAAGUCUUAUGAGUGGAGUGUCUUGAAUGAUGAUACCGUGGCAUUCAACAACUUGACAAGUAUACUAAACUUCCGCAUCAUAAAUUGCCCCAAUCUGGUCUCUGUUUCGUUUGAAGCGUUAAGUCAGCUCAUGUCUUUACAGAGCUUGGAAAUCGUUGACUGCCCCAGGUUGCUUUGGCCACAGAUGAUGCUGGAAGAAGCAUGUGAAGGAAAGACAAAGUUUCCAUCUAUCACACAUCUAUCAAUUGUGUCAUCUAGUAUGCUGGGUGAUCCAUUAUUGCUUCCAUGUACACAGUCUGAACAGCUGACUGUAAAUGACAAACCUUCAACAUUCAGUUGUCCUGUAGAAGAGCAAAGCAACCAUCUGUCUUUACUAUAUAUCUCCUCAACUACUACUACAGCAACAACAGAGUCGAUAAGAAACGGACCCAUACUAUUUCAUAUGCCACAUCUUCUCUACACAUAUGUCAAAAAGUUGCACAUAUCUGACUGCCCAAAUUUGGUUUUUUGCAGCAGAAAGGUUGGUUUUGCGGGAUUCACCUCCCUUGAGGAGUUGACAGUUACCAGAUGCCCCAAAUUACUCAUGCCCAUGGUGCAUGAAGGUGUUAGUGAUGAUCAUAUAGGUGGGAGGUUUCUCCUUCCACCAUUACUCAACCAAUUUGAGACCGAUCAUCUCUCAGAAAAGCUCCAGCUCUAUUUUCCAGAGAACCAUACCUCUCUCAGAAGAUUGUCAGUGUGGGACAGCCCUAGCCUGAUAUGCCUACAGCUGCAUUCUUGUACAAAGUUGGAGGAGUUGGAAAUCUUUAACUGUAAGAACUUGUGUACACUUGGGGGAUUGACAUUUCUCAGCUCCCUAAAGAUCAUGAAGCUUGCAAGGAAUCCCAAGCUGUCCACUUCAUGGGAAUUUGACUCACAGGAUCAACAAUGCACGGGAGAUCAGGCUGGAGAUCUAAGCAUUUUAUCUGGACUGGAAUGGCUUGAGACUGAUGACUUCUCUGUCCUUACCAUGUCCUUCUUCAAACACCUCAACUCCCUCCAACACUUGACGCUUUCAAGCUCGCGAAGUUAUUGGAGAGUGGUGAGACUGUCAGAGGGGCAAGGGAGAGUGCUUCAGCAGCUCACCCACCUCCAGGAGCUCAGAUUCCUCUGCUGCGAUGAUCUCCUCGUGCUGCCUGAACAGUUGCAUUGCCUGUCCUCCCUCAAGAAGUUGGAGAUUGGCUACUGUCCGGGUAUCUUACGUUUGCCGGAAGAGGGACUCCCUCUUUUAUCACUUGAAGAAUUGGAAACCAGAGGCUGCACUGAGGAACUAAAUAGGCAGUGCAGACUAGCAGCGACAGAAAAGCUAAAGGUCCUAAUUGAUGGGAAAGUGUGUAGGGUCUGAUAGAAGCUUGAAGACCUCGCCUCUCUAUUUGUUGUAUGCUCCGCAAAUGGGCUAGUACUGAGCUGCUUAUGAGGCCAAGAUGUUAUUUAUGCAGUUGAGGACCAUCAUUCGCCUAAAAUUCCAGCAAACAUUCUUGUGAUGAGUUGAUGAUAGUAGCUUAUUGAAUCUAAUAUGAUUCCUAGCCGCGGCUGUCUGUCAUUGCUUGUGCAAGUAAGUUUUGUGGCCGCAGUUUACUGCCUUUUGUUCUGAAGUUUCUGCAGCGCUUCAUACUGGGUACUUUUGAAGACUAAUACACGCAGUGUAAUUUGGUGUGAGUUUGUGUCUGCACUCUGCAGUGUGGAUUUGUUGCUGUUUACUAUUGGUAGUAUUCUCUGGUUUCAUUUGGCUAGUCGCACUCAACCGCUGCUGGACGGCGGACAGGUUAAGCAUCAGGGGCUUGCUUCACCCCAGCAUGUGUGUCUUAUGCGAUCAGCACGAAGAAAGCAUCGAUCACAUUUUGGUCGCAUGCCCAGAAUCAAGGCAGCUCUGGUGGCUACUGCUCUCGGCCAUCAGUCGCCCGGAAUGCUUGCCCGUCAAUGAAAUCUCAUUCCAUUCCUGGUUGUGUGACAAGAGGGAAACCUUCCCAAGCUCUCAACGGCGAGGUUUCGAUACCAUUGCUACACUCGCAGCAUGGACAAUUUGGAAGGAAUGGAAUAACAGGGUGUUCAAUCAGAAGCAGAGAAGCUGGACAGAAGUGGCAAGGGCAAUGGCAGAAGAGGCAGCGCUGUGGCGGCUCACCAAUACUGCCAUGCCGGCCAUGCCUUUAGGCCGCUUAGGUCGCAACAUUGUGUCGCGAGAAUAGGGUUUAAUGUUCUUGGGUGACUUCCUGUAAUCCCGUCUCCUUCUGUUUCUCUCUUUCACCUGUACAGACUUUUACUCCUCUUAAUACAAAGAUGCGCUCCUUGUGUAUUCCCAGAAAAAAAAAAUACUUGAAUGGAAUCGCUACUUCUUGUUCA